rnacentral:pre_miRNA from 1 species
CCUCGACUUUAACAGGGAGGUACUUGCUGUACGCUUCAAAAGUAAGUGCUUCCAUGUUUUAGUUGUGG